rnacentral:rRNA from 1 species
GACGAACGCUGGCGGCGUGCUUAACACAUGCAAGUCGAACGGAAAGGCCCUGCUUUUGUGGGGUGCUCGAGUGGCGAACGGGUGAGUAACACGUGAGUAACCUCCCCUUGUCUUUGGGAGAACUUCAGGAAACUGGGGCUAAUACCGGAUAGGAGCUCCUGCUGCAUGGUGGGGGUUGGAAAGUUUCGGCGGUUGGGGAUGGACUCGCGGCUUAUCAGCUUGUUGGUGGGGUAGUGGCUUACCAAGGCUUUGACGGGUAGCCGGCCUGAGAGGGUGACCGGCCACAUUGGGACUGAGAUACGGACCAGAAUCCUACGGGAGGCAGCAGUGGGGAAUAUUGCACAAUGGGCGGAAGCCUGAUGCAGCAACGCCGCGUGCGGGAUGACGGCCUUCGGGUUGUAAACCGCUUUCGCCUGUGACGAAGCGUGAGUGACGGUAAUGGGUAAAGAAGCACCGGCUAACUACGUG